rnacentral:rRNA from 1 species
GACGAACGCUGGCGGCGUGCUUAACACAUGCCAGUCGAACGGAAAGGCCCUGCUUGCAGGGUACUCGAGUGGCGAACGGGUGAGUAACACGUGGGUGAUCUGCCCUGCACUUCGGGAUAAGCCUGGGAAACUGGGUCUAAUACCGGAUAGGAGCCAUUUUUAGUGUGAUGGUUGGAAAGUUUUUUCGGUGUAGGAUGAGCUCGCGGCCUAUCAGCUUGUUGGUGGGGUAAUGGCCUACCAAGGCGGCGACGGGUAGCCGGCCUGAGAGGGUGGACGGCCACAUUGGGACUGAGAUACGGCCCAGACUCCUACGGGAGGCAGCAGUGGGGAAUAUUGCACAAUGGGCGCAAGCCUGAUGCAGCGACGCCGCGUGGGGGAUGACGGCCUUCGGGUUGUAAACUCCUUUCGCUAGGGACGAAGCUUUUGUGACGGUACCUAGAGAAGAAGCACCGGCUAACUACGUG